GUGAAUCAUCGAAUUUUUGAACGCAAAUUGCACUCUCUUCGGAGAGUAUGCCUGUUUGAGGGUCAGCCUAAAAAAAAUCGACAUGCUCACUGUUUCGCGGUGACGUUAGUCGGAAAUUGGGUCUUCUAAAUCCUUUUGGUUUUACGCGCCUUAAAAUUUUUUUUACGAUUCUGCAACCGUAUCUAAGAUUUUCUUCUUACACGUUUACGUAAAUCGAUCUUUAUUAGACGUCGCCGUUGCAUCG
rnacentral:misc_RNA from 1 species